UGCAGGGGUCACACUGUGUCAGCUGGUGUGUCAGAGUGUAAAUAAUACCACAAUAAACAUUGGAUUAACAGAAAAAACAUUGUUACUUGGACUUUGGCAUUAUCAGAAAGUAAGGCUGUAGCAUAUGAUUAUCUCAAAGCAGAUGAAGUUGCAGUUUUUGUGCUAUGUCUGCUGCUUUUCUUACUUCCACUCUGUUUCUGAAGACAAAGAUAUUGGGGUCACCAAUAAUAAUGCAAAACAUUGUAGUGUUACGUCUUGGGAAAAAGUGGCAGCUUCAGGAAAUUAUGGAACAGAACAUAAUAAUUUCAGUUGAGAUCAGUAAGUUUUUGUUGUGGUAUAUCUAAGGCAAGCAGGCAAGAAGUUAGGUGAAUGCAGAAGGCCAGCAUACCAGGUGCCACAAAUGAAAAAACAGUGCCACAAAUGAGAGUGAUAAUUUGCACCUGUAGGGGAACUGGUUAUGUCAGGGCCUGAACUGAUGAUUGAGCACCUGGUGAAGCGGGUGGCUGGCUCCGGAAGUACAGACACAAGUGAUUGACUUCAUUGAGGUGCUUCCCACCUCAUUGGGAGGGGUGAGCCACCCCUCCCUGGGCUCAUUUAAGGGCUAGCCUCCAAAGGGAGAACACGUCCUGGAUGAGGACUGUUUCCUGAGAAGGAAUGUUCCACUGUUGUGAGACGCUCAUCAGCUGGGCCACAGUGCUAGAUAAAACUUCUUUAAGGCACCUGAGAGAGAGAGGGAAAGAACACCUCCAGAGAGCAGCCUGCUGAUAGAACCUACUUCUAACAAUAUGUGAGAGAGCAGCAAGUUAUCAGGCAUAGGGACAGAAGGGGAAGAUGAAGAUAGCUUUCUUGUUCCAUGAGAAGUGGGAGGUGAAGCGGCAAAGAAGACAGGAAGGCUGAUUUGGGAAGAUAACACAGCAGUUUACAACAAUGGAGGACAAGAAAUCCUUGAAGAUUAAAAGCAUGAAAGAGCACAGGAAGGCUUGUCUCUGCAGUCAGGCGACGAUGAGGACAUGAAGAUGUAUAACUGUCCCAGGUGUGAGAACAUCACAGUUUACCCCCUCAGGACUUGUAACAGUCUUGCCAGAAGGAGAGUGAAAUAGGAGAUUCCAUUUAUUGGCCCUGGAGACUGACAAGGAACCGACACCUGUGCCCAAAUGUUUUCUGAACCUUGGCAGCAACAGGCGUAUUCAUUAUGCAGCAGUUGCAGAUCCAAGUGUGCUCAAGGCACGGGAGAGCAGCAACCUUCUCCCUUGCAAGGAAAAACAGGUUAAGUAGCAAAACAGCUGGUGCAGUGGAAUCCCUAACAUGUUCCAUCUUCAAGAAAACUGGUGCUUCUGACUGUGUGUCACAAGUGCAAGCUGCAAUUUAUGAAUAUAUUAUGUCAUUUGCACUACCAUGGUUACAGGAGGAAGGAGAAGUUUCUGUAGUCUGUCAGUCGCUCAUGGCUAAGGAAAGAGCGUAUUAUUGAUCUGCUUUCAUUUUAACGAGAAGAGUAUGGAAAUAUGAGUAAGAAAACUUGUGUUUCUUUCCAAAUAUGCUCUUGUGGUCCAGAGCAGAAGAUGAAAGCUGGUUGGGCUUUGUUACUAAUGCGAGUUUGAAGGUUGAGCCUUGCAUAUGGCAUACUGAAGUUCGUGUCCUGUUAAAGGAAAAUUGAUCUUUCUGCACUACGAAGAAGCCUGUCUGUGCAGGACAGGGCUUUCUCACAGGCUAGUUUCAAUGACUCAAGUGGACAAUAUGUUUAUCUUCUUGGAUGGUGAAUAUAAUAAGCUGAAGUGAAUAUAAUAAGAUUGCACUGAAGGAGCAGAAAUAAUGUAGCAGCAACCUUUGGGGAUAUCAGAACUGUGACAAAACCCUGGCCUCUUCUGUUUCCAGCAUCAGCAAUGCAAUAGUAGUUGUGGUGUCUUGAAUUAGUUGGAUGCUGCAAGCAUGGAGAGUAUUGAAUGAAAUCCUUUUCUGCAUCUUUAAUCUGUUUUACGAAGUGCAUCUUCAAAAGGCAGGAAAGUACAGAGGAAGGCAACCUUGUUUUAGGUGCGUUGGAUUCAGAGUUUUUAUUUUGUGAAAGAGAAGAAGGUUAUAGAAGGCGACUGGCUGGGUACCUACUUCUAUUUAUCAGGAAGGUUCUGUCUCCUAGGAUAUCAUUUACCCAUCUUAACUGGUAAUGAUCCUCCAAAGCUCAAAAAAUCUACCACAUUGGUGAUGAAUGUUUGCUGAUGGACAUCAUAUGUUCUGCUAAGGGUUUAAAAGAGCCUAAAAGAAAUCAGAUUCUUCAGUCUUUCAGCAGUGUUAACAGGUGUUUGUAUCAGAGAAGUAAUGAAAUAUUGCCCCAGGUAGGGAAAUAGCGCUGUGAAGCACCCAUAAAUCAGAACACUCUUCUUAUUCUGGGCUGACUAAAUUUGCUUUCAGUAUUUCAGCAUAUCUUUGUUUAUAAAUCUAAGUGCUAUUGUGUUGUAUUGUACUUUGCAGAGUAAUAAAUUGUAACAUUCAACAUUAACUGGUCAGGCUUCAGUGAUAACAAAAGUUCAGCAGGCUGGUGGCACUCUGAUCAAUAUUACCUUCUAUUUAUAGUAUUGUUACAAAUUGAAGUUUUAUUUAAAUUAGACAACACUGAGAAGCUUAAAGUAGAUCAAUGAACUAAAAUACAGUAACGGAUUUUAAUUCGUGUCUGAUAUGCUGCUACUCUUUUGUCACAUGCAUCCUUAAUGUCCCCAAAACAAGAUCACAUUUACGUAUACUGUAACAGACUGUUGUCUGGCAAAACUGCAAAACUGUUUUAAGGCAGCAAGACUGUCACUGUGAAAUGAGCAGCAAAGGUGAUGGAUAGGAGAGAAAAAUGGAAAAUGGUUUCUGUUUGGUUGGGGAUUUGUUGUUUGCAUGUUUAGCUAGUUUUUAUUCAGUAUAUCAUUCUGUUUUCUUAUUCAGUACAUCAUUUUAACCCACAGUAUUUAAGUGUGUCAUAUAGCUAGUGCUACUGUUCUGAUUCUGCUUAUCUUUACACCAACAUAUCUCCAAUGACAGCAGUACAGUAUUUCUGUGACUUUAUAUUGUGAGAUUGGGUUUCAGUUUAUAUAGCUAUAUAUAAGAAUAUAGCUAUUCUUGUUUUUAGAGGUAAACAGAGCCACCAGAUUUUGUGGUUUGAUUGGUGAUGGGGUCUUGAAGACCCAACAAAUAUUGAAUGACAUAUUUAGUAUUUUUGGUUGAAUUGAAAUAUGAAGCUAUCUUGCAACUAUUAAAUUUGACUCUGUUCUAUCUAAAUGCUUGUGUGUAUGUGAGGCAGCAAUAUCUGAGCAACCAGACCUGGGUGGACACAUCAGCUGAAAACAAAGGAGUUGACAUAUUCCUGCUCACUGACUUGACACAUGAGGAGUUGUUAGGAAUCUUGGUUUAUUAUAUUAAUCAUCAUGGUCAGUUGGCACAACCAGCAAGCUCUCUCUAACAGUACCCAAAAUAAACUUAAAAUGAUGGUGCCAGAAAAUUCAUUGCAGAGAGUUAACAAGACCUCUUGUUAACAAGGUCUUCUGAAAAGUGUUUUGAGAUUGAUGAGGAUUUGCCAUUGGACACUGUUAAUUUUUAAACAAGGUCUAAAACAUCUCAUGAAAAUUUUCAUUUCACUCUUCCAACUAUAAGCACAAGUACUUUAGAGAUGGAGGAGUAAUUCUGUCUGAGCUUCUAGAUGCUGCAGAUAAAAGAAACUGAUACAAAAAGAUGCCAGAUAUACUGUAUUGGUAAUGAGACUGAGAAGCUUAUCCUCCCCAAAAGAUCCAGCACUCCCUUUCCAACAUAGAAAUUCUAAAUGGCAAAGCCUGAGUUUUCACAUGCCGACACAGUGGUCCCCUGCAUUUGUAGUAGGGAUACUCAGUGCUCUUCUGUUACUUGAUUCCAAACCCUAAUUUAGAUUUGAGAGCUGUUUUUAUGCCUUUCUACCUGACGUUUCACAGAAGAGCAGAGGCAGGCUGGAGAAACAGAAGUGAGGAAGGGGGUGGUGAGAUGUGUGCUGUCUCCCACUGGAAUCUCAGAUGGAGAUGAAAGACACUGAACAUCCUCUCUCUGAUGUUGAAGGGUCUGAGCCCAUGGGAAAGGAACAGCACAGUGAAGUACAAGGGCUGAUCCAAAAGUAAUGCCUCCUAUUUUAUUAUGUUGGCCUAUGAUGUAAGCGAUUGUUCGUGGUAUGGCAGCAGAGGCUGAACCUUCCCACCAAUAUUCAAUUUCAUUUUGUUGCUGUGCUACAGAUCCAGCAGGGGGCCAGUCUGUCAGCAUGGUGCCUGAUAUGGGAGUGGGGAUGUAGGAAAGGAGUGUAACUGAAUUCCUUUAUGUGGAAAAAAAUGGCACACACUGGCAUUUACUUAUGCUUCUUGAACGCUUGUGAAGACCAAACAGUUGGAUUUCAGCAUGGUGAAGUGGUGGGUGAUGCAUUUCAAUGGCGGUGACAGCAACAGUGUGUCACCUCUGCCAGUGCAGACUUGUUUACGAGUGUGGCAUGCUAAUGAAAAUGCACAGAUAAUGGUGGUGACUAUGCUGAAAAACUGUGUUUAGUAGUUGAGAAUUUGCUUUAUCAAAUAGUGUUAUUGUGCUCUUUGUAUCUGUUGUAGUUCCCAUGGAAAUAAACAUGAGGCAUUACUUUUGGAGCAACCCACUUAGUUUCCAAUUUCCCUUGAUCUGCUUAUUCCUUUGUUCUCUGCAUUAUACUGUUUUCAGGGUCAGAAUUUUUUGUACGCUGCCUGAUAUUUGUGUCUCCUGAAGUGAAGUUUUCUUUUCCUAUGUUUUCUUUUCUUAUGUUUGCCUACAAAUUUCCCUCACUUAAAAAAGUAAAAACAAUAAUAAAUUCUUGUUUUAAUAUUUGUCUUUCUUUUUCUCCCCUCUUUGCUGCCACCAGGCUGUUCCUUGUGCUGACUGCUGCAGCUGCCCACCUUCUCAGUGUGUGAACUAACAUUCACAUCAGAUAGAGGAGGUGGAGCUGGCUUUUAGCUCCAGCAGUGGGCACAGCCUGGGGGAGAGCUGCUUUUUAGCAGCAGGAAAUGUCGGCAUCUUCUGAAAGAAUUUCUGGGGCUGGUUUUCCCAGAUCAAAAUGUAAAAGAGACUCCAUCAUUUCAUCCAGAGAUUAUAUUUAUAUAUGUGUGUAUACUUAUACACACACAAGAAUAAUGUAUUUUCUUUAAUCUUGACCUUCUCUCAGGAGAUAAUCUUACUCCUCCACCCAGCAGCGAUGAGAAUCUCCCUGAGACCUAAACCUACAUAGUGUAAAAAUGGGAGAGAGAUUAUCUUGUGCCUUUUCUGUUUUUUGUCAUCAUUCUCCUUUUUGGUUGUAUGACAGCACCAUGAUCUAGAGACAGAGUGAGACAAGCAAACUGGCUGUACCGUGCCCCAUUUGGCAGAGAAUACUGAGAUCUCCUGAAAUUAAAGUUCAUAGUUUUAAUAGCAUUUUUGAGACUUCAUCUUGCAUAUUAGAACUUAGCCAGGUAUUAGGUAAUUUAGAUAAUAAAUUCUCUUCAAAGUGACCCAUCAUCUUAGUAUUUAUUUUUUUUUCUAGAGGAUGUAAGGCAUAAAAGCAAGCUUUGUAGUUUUAUAUCUGUCAGCAUGUCACAUAAAUAUCUCAGUAACUACUGAUCUUAUCACCAUAAAACUUCCAUUUAUACAGUUAGACAUGUCAUGUUGGUCAGUUGCACAAAAAGUUAAGCACAUGCAAUAUUAAACUCCAACCCAUGCCAGCUCCAUUAGCCCACAUCUUGAAGUUCUCUCUGAACACUAUUAGAGGAGAAGUGGGGGAGGAGGAGGAGGAGCAGACUGCGGACUCAGAUGAGAACGGACUCAUGUUGAAAAUUACUGAAAUGAUGAAAGGGAUUGCAGAGGGAUGUUUGGAGUCUCAGUAUUUCCCUGAAAAUCAAAAGAUCUGUUUUCUGUUUGAUGAAUGACUUUAAUAGGCUUAAUGACCUCGUAUAAUGUAUUUCAUUGUAUUGUUCAUUUUUUUUUAGAAGAUCAGUCUAGAAGCAUUUCAAGCUGUAUCACCUUUGCUGGUCAGAAUUGGACUCCAAUAUCAGCAUGCCAUCUUUACACUUUCAUUACUUUUGUAGCAUUAAAAAAAAAAAAAAUCUGAAUUCAGCAAAUUCUAAAGUUACUUAUUUUUAGGUUUGAGUCUAACUCAGACUUGGCAGGAAUGUGUCUUUAAAGAGCAGUGUAAGCAAUUAUUUAUCUGGAAUAAAGUUUGUUGGGAGUACUAGUUUAUAAAUUGUGCAAUCUAUUAGUUUGAUUUAUGUUUUAAAAAUUCCCAUGAAUAGUACAAUUAAUACUGAUUAUUACUCUUAAGGUCUUCUGCAGUUAAAUUUUUGGGCCCAGUAUGCUGAAGCAGCCUGUUUCUAGAAAUAUCUUGCAUAAGUCAUCUAUAGUGGUUAUUCCAGAAGCUCAGACUGCUGCUGUCUUUCUUUUCCUGCUCCCAGCAUGGUUUCUGCAGCAAAGAAACUGUGAAGUACUAAGGGAGAAGUGCAGCUACCAAGACUUGAAAUGUUUAAAAGAAGGCUGUGAUUCAGCAUGCUCCUGCUCAUGGACGUGAUGCACGUUUUGCCAGUUGCUGACUACUGAGAGACAUGAUGUGAGGAGGCCAGACCUGAACAAAUUCCCUGGGUUGUGAAUCAUGUGGAAGCUCUGUGGGGGAACUGCACCUCUUGUUCAGUAUAGACAGUUGUGAACCUGCUGACUGCAUCUUUCUCCAUCUUUACAAUAGAGGGCCUUCAAACUCCUCUCUCUUGGAGAUGGGAAAAGAUGAUGGAAGUUGUAUGGACAGAUUCAGAGGGAGAGGAUAAGGGACCAGGAGAAGCCCACAGAGAUCUUUCCUAAAGGAUGAGUGCGAUGAAACUGAAGGAAUUAACACCCACUGCCUUCUCCCUUCUUUGGACAGUGAAUACACAGACUUUAAAAAAAAAAAAAAAAGAAGAAAAAAAAAGUAUUUUGCUUUAAGUGAUGGUGCCUCCAAAUGCCCCCAUGAAGUCAUUUUCCAGCUUAAAGCAUCAGGUGUGGAGAAACAGAAGCAGCUCCAGAAACUGUUGAAUGGCAAAAGGCACUUCCUGUUCUGCAGAACACACCUAUACAAGCUGUCCAAGCGGCCUGUACUGUUCAAGGGAGCAUUGCCAGCAAUACAGGUUUAAUGCAUACAUAUACGAUGUUAAGGGUGUGCAUUCUUCUGCUUCCCACAGCUGCACAGCUCACAUGAUGAAAUCUUACGCUUCUGUGCCUAGCAAUGAAGUUUUAAUCACCUCAAUAUACAUCGUUCCACAAUAUAUAUUUUUCUGUCUACCAAAGACAUAAUGGCUCCUCCUUUUAUGGGAAACCAGGAUUUAAUCCAGUAAGUCUGUAAGAAUCAAUAUUCUUGUGAAAUGACACCAUGUUGAAGUUAUUUUAUGUUAUGUUGAUGGUUAGCUAAUUUUGUAAUGGAGACGUUUCUUCUAGAAGCAGACAUAGUAUAAUUUAGUGGUAAAAACGUCAAUCACAAGGGGUUGAACACUUAUGUCAGGGCAGGAAAAGGGCAGAUUUAUUGAUGGAAAUGUAUCUAUAUACUCCUUGCAGCACUUUGACCUGAAAUAUCCAUUUUGGUUAUAAUUUUGUUUUGUGAAAAUGACAUCAACUGUAAUCACUAAUGUAAAAAUGACACUGGAAUGCUUUGUUCCACAGGCCUGAUUUAAAAGUCUUGCUGCUGUUUGUUAUAGUAACGGCUUUUCAAUAGCAAGCAAAUUAAGGCACUCAUUUAACUGCUCCUUUUUUGUGUUUGUAGGAUUUUGUAAUAGAUGACAACCUCAGAAGAAAAAAAAAAAGAAGCAGUGUUCUUUUUUCUACUAUUUAAGAUUGUUUAAACAAUAAAUAUAUAGCAUGUUUCAUAAUGACAUUGAAGUAACCAAGAGAAGGAGGCAUGGUGCUCUGGAUAAUGCUAUAUGCGGAUGUAUUCCUGUGUGGCUUUUCUUCCCAAUGCCAGUUAACCACCCACCCAAAGCCAUAAAAAACAGCAAUAGGAAUGGGUAGGAGAGGAUGGAGUAAUGUAAGUACAGAGGUUGAAAAAGAGUAAGUAACAAGGAAGGAGACAAAUAAAUAAAACAGUCCAAAGCACAGGGAGCAUAGGAAUAUCUCACUUGAGACCUCAACAAAAAUACAAAAUCCUCAUCGAUUCAGCGAUUCAAUGAACUUUCAUAGUAUUACUCCAGAUUAAUAAUGAUGUAACUAAAAACAGAAAGUGGUCUAACCUCAGCUUAAAGAAUAGGAAAAAGUGCAUUAGGAACAAUAUGAAUUUUAUAGAGGAUCUGCACUGUGAUGUGAAGUACUGGUUAGUCUCAAUUUUCUUCUGCACUAUCAUUACCUAUCAUGACUGCCUGGUUACUAAAGGCUUAAUUGAUCUCCAGGCUAGUAUCUGGAGUUUUCACUUUAGUGUAAGGUGAAUCUUGCAUACUUGAAAGCUUAAUUUAGUAUAAAAAAACUGAUGUUUUACCAGCUAGCAGAUUAUCAAACUUUCCUAUUUUCUUCCUUUUUGUUUAUACCCUUUGCGUGAUAACACGUAAAGCCAACCCCUCACUUUCUACCAACAAUAGGGAUGUACAUUACCUGCAUCAUAAAUCUUAACACUUGUGUGUUUUUCAGGCAAAUAAAUGGCAGAAUCAGAGACCAUCCACUGUCCUGCUCCGUGGUCCCAUGGCAGAAAGUGAAACUCUGAACAAUUAAGGCAGCACAGACAUCCUGCCCUAAAGGACUUUCCUUGAGGAACGACAGCUGUGUGCUUCCUUCCUGUAACUUGGAAGAGCUGCAAAGAAAAGGAAAGCCAAAACAAACAAACAAACAACAAAAAGCCCAACCAUGCGAAAUGUGAAGAGUAAAAUCUGCCAGAUCCGAGGAGCCAUUGUACAGCUGGAGAUGAGCCAUAAAUCUGCAAAAGUUCCGUGUUCAUGCAAAGACCUGGUUGGAAUUGCUAUACCCCUUCCACCCCUUCCUUCCCCAGGUGAAAUUUGUCCUGCAAUGUGCGACAGACCAGAAGAAAAGCACACACACUUUUCCUGGAAUUACGAUGCUUUAUAGACUUUCUGAUGGAGGAGGAUGUUAUAUGGCAACUGCCCUGUGCUAAAGAGUUGGUUAAAAAGCACCCCGGAAUAAAGCUCAGAACAGAAUGGAGAGCUGCCAGGAAGCAGACAGCUGCAGGAGGAAAUGGCAGAGAGCAUCCAUGUGGUGCCGGUGUGCCAAGGCCAAGGGCAGCAGCCAGCCCAGGAUGGGCAGCCGGACAUGAGAAGAUGGGGACGUGGUGACAGAGUCACUGAAGGCCCCAGGAGGGAGCAGUGGUGUGAGUGCAUCGCCUGUCUGUUGUGCCACUUGUUACAGCCUACCUGAUACACCUGGGAUUUUUGAAGUAUUUAGUUUCCGAGGGAUAUCCAGAUUUCAGGGAUGGAUCCUGGAAGAACAUUCAGGCGGCAAUGACCUCUGACAUUUGGAAAGCCAAAUAACAGUGGAAUAAGUGGCUUAGAGAGAGUUAAGCAAGAGAGAAUGUUCCACCCCACACUGGCACGGUGCUCUGCUUCGCUCCAUUUCACAUCUCUGCUUCUCCAUGAAGUCAUGCCCCUCAAUCCAGAAAGCUUCCAUCAGAAAUGCUCAGUACUGCGUGUUUAGUGUAAUACUUACACCCUGUCAAGACUUCCAAAGCACAACAAAUUAAUCUGGAAAUUCAGAUCGGACUGUUGCAAGGAUGUAACAGGAGCUCUGCAGGGAGAAGGUGGGAUGAAGGCACUGAGAAUGAAUUGUUGCCCAAAGGGAUUGAUUGCCAUGGAGGAAGACCAGAAAAAGGAUAAAAAACAGCAACAAAAUGUGUAGUAAAGAAGGUGGAAACAGGAAACAAAUGGUGAAGUGAUACCAUGAUGCUCUACUGGCUCAAAAGCAAGAAAAAAUUAUGAAAGCAUUAAUUUAUUCAUUUUCAGCCAAAUGAAAACAAAACAAAAAAAUCAAAACAAAAAACUAGUACAUAAAAAGAGAAAAUAGACCAGAAGUUAGAACAUGUGAAGAAAAUGGGCAGCAAAGGAAGAGGAAAUGAAGAGUGGUGAAACAAGUGUUGGAAAAAAAGGAGUGGGGGUGAAGAAGCAACACAAAGAGAUCUGAUGCACAGGGCUUUUAGAGAUACUUAGAAUCUUCAGCUGCUGAGAGCAGGAUCUUGUUGUACAAGAUGAUACAGAGGCACACAAUAAAGGACUGCUGGUCCCAGGAGCCUGGCAAGCUAAGCAAGGGGAGAGAAGAAAUAUCACCACUGUUUUACAAAUGGAAAUAUGGAAAACCAGAGCUCUGAGAAUCUGUGCAACUCAUUGCAGUGUCACACAGCAAUAUUGGCAAGGGAAUUCUGUCAAAGUCCAGAAUCAGUGCAUACUAAAGACCCUGUAAUCCUGGGGAAGCGGUAGCAAGCAGGGGGUAUUCACUCAAGACCAAGCAGUGGAGAAGCGCGUUGAUAUUCCCUGAAGACAAAAUAAACCGAGUGGAAAGUUCACUGUCUUCCUUUUGAAGAUGACUGAAGGUUUCCAUUUCAGCCAAUCCUUCCGAGCAGUCUGUCUUUGGAAAUAAAUGUUACCCCUCUGAUAAGCUAACCAAUUUGAAGAUUAAAGCUGCAUUUGAGGAUUAAAGUUUUUCUUAUUUGA